rnacentral:rRNA from 1 species
UGACAAAGUUUAACGGCCGCGGUACCCUAACCGUGCGAAGGUAGCAUAAUCACUUGUUCUUUAAAUAGGGACUAGUAUCAACGGCAUCACGAGGGUUACACUGUCUCCUUUCCCCAAUCAGUGAAACUGAUCUCCCCGUGAAGAAGCGGGGAUAUAACUAUAAGACGAGAAGACCCCAUGGAGCUUUAAGCUCAACAGCACCUCUAUACAAAUAUACCCCCACAACCCACGAGCCCUGUUUGUUAGCUUUAGGUUGGGGUGACCGCGGAGUAUAAUACAACCUCCACGACGAAUAGGCCUAAAACCUUUAUCCAAGAGCCACUGCUCUAAGAAUCAUAAAAUUGACGUAAAAUGAUCCGAUUUUCGAUCAACGAACCAAGUUACCCUGGGGAUAACAGCGCAAUCCAUUUCAAGAGCCCCUAU